UACGGAGGGUGCAAGCGUUAUCCGGAUUCACUGGGUUUAAAGGGAGCGUAGGUGGGCAGGUAAGUCAGUGGUGAAAUCUCUGGGCUUAACCCGGAAACUGCCAUUGAUACUAUCUGUCUUGAAUUUUCUGGAGGUAAGCGGAAUAUGUCAUGUAGCGGUGAAAUGCUUAGAUAUGACAUAGAACACCCAUUGCGAAGGCAGCUUACUACGGAAUGAUUGACACUGAGGCUCGAAAGCGUGGGGAUCAAACAGG
rnacentral:rRNA from 1 species